rnacentral:rRNA from 1 species
AUUGAACGCUGGCGGCAUGCCUUACACAUGCAAGUCGAACGGUAACAGGUCUUCGGAUGCUGACGAGUGGCGAACGGGUGAGUAAUACAUCGGAACGUGCCUAGUAGUGGGCGAUAACUACUCGAAGGAGUGGCUAAUACCGCAUGAGAUCUACGGAUGAAAGCAGGGGAUCGCAAGACCUUGUGCUACUAGAGCGGCCGAUGGCAGAUUAGGUAGUUGGUGGGAUAAAAGCUUACCAAGCCGACGAUCUGUAGCUGGUCUGAGAGGACGAUCAGCCACACUGGGACUGAGACACGGCCCAGACUCCUACGGGAGGCAGCAGUGGGGAAUUUUGGACAAUGGGCGCAAGCCUGAUCCAGCAAUGCCGCGUGCAGGAUGAAGGCCUUCGGGUUGUAAACUGCUUUUGUACGGAACGAAAAGCCCUGGGUUAAUACCCUGGGGUCAUGACGGUACCGUAAGAAUAAGCACCGGCUAACUACGUGCCAGCAGCCGCGGUAAUAC